rnacentral:rRNA from 1 species
GACGAACGCUGGCGGCGUGCUUAACACAUGCCAGUCGAACGGUAAGGCCUUCGGGUACACGAGUGGCGAACGGGUGAGUAACACGUGGGUGAUCUGCCCCCUACUCUGGGAUAAGUCUGGGAAACUGGGUCUAAUACCGGAUAUGACCAACUUCUGCAUGGUUGUUGGUGGAAAGUUUUUUCGGUAGGGGAUGAGCCCGCGGCCUAUCAGCUUGUUGGUGGGGUAAUGGCCUACCAAGGCGACGACGGGUAGCCGGCCUGAGAGGGCGACCGGUCACGCGGGGACGUGGACACGGCCCAGAGGCGCACGGCAGGCAGCAGGGGGGAAUAUUGCACAAUGGGCGAAAGGCUGAUGCAGCGACGCCGCGUGGGGGAUGACGGCCUUCGGGUUGUAAACCCCUUUCAGUCGGGACGAAGCGCAAGUGACGGUACCGAUAGAAGAAGCACCGGCCAACUACGUGCCAGCCGCCGCCGUAAGAC